rnacentral:rRNA from 1 species
UACGUAGGGGGCAAGCGUUGUCCGGAAUCAUUGGGCGUAAAGAGCGUGUAGGCGGCUCGAUAAGUCUGCUGUGAAAGUCCAGGGCUCAACCCUGGAAGGCCGGUGGAAACUGUCGGGCUAGAGUCCGGAAGGGGCGAGUGGAAUUCCCGGUGUAGCGGUGAAAUGCGCAGAUAUCGGGAGGAACACCAAUGGCGAAGGCAGCUCGCUGGGACGGUACUGACGCUGAGACGCGAAAGCGUGGGGAGCAAACAGG